rnacentral:misc_RNA from 1 species
AACGCACCUUGCGCUCCUUGGCAUUCCGAGGAGCAUGCCUGUUUGAGCGUCGUUGAAUUCUCAGAAUCCUCCAGAGGGCUGUAUAGUAUGGCAGGGCAACACCAGCCUCACUUUGCUACCAUCCUUCAUGUGGGGUCUGGAUUGUGGAGGAUGCAAUGGUGUCCCGUUACUCUUGAUGAGAGGGGAGGGGUUCAGCUUUGCUUCUCUGAAAUGGACUGGCUGUUGCGGCUGCGCUGUGGAGGUAGCCCAGCUCCUCUGAGGCGCAGUGCCGUCGGUAUGAUACAUGCAUCUUACCCACGUCUAUGCCGUGCAGCCAGACACAAAUUCUCUUGUGAUUUGACCUCAAAUCAGGCAGGACUACCCGCUGAACUUAA